UUUUAUCUUUGCCUUGACUUAUUCCACCUGAGCCUUCUUUCCAUUGGGAGCAGACAACCUGAAAAUGCCCAGGAGCACUCCCUUCUCCUCACCAGGCUGCAUCACGUUAAAUCUGGCUGUGCUUUUCUGGUCCCAGUGGAUCACCCGAAGUCUCAAUCCCUGCGUGGAGGUGGUCCCAGGAACCACUUAUGAAUGCAUGGAACGGAACCUCAAUGGGAUUCCACUGGAUAUUCCAAAUACUACCCAGAGCCUGGAUCUGAGCUUCAAUCCACUGAAGACUCUGAUGGAAAACAGUUUUCUUUCACUCUUCGCAUUGAAAUUUCUGGACCUCACUAGAUGCCACAUUCAGGUUAUUGAAGAUGACGCUUUUAAGGGCCUCUGUGACCUUUCUGUCUUGAUCUUGACUGCCAACCCUAUCCAGUUUCUGGGUCCAAGAGCCUUUCAUGAUUUGAUUUCCUUACGACGACUGGUUGCUGUAGAAAUCAACCUAUUCUCACUGGACAAACUGCCCAUUGGGCACCUGAAGUAUCUCCAGGAGCUGAAUCUCAGUCAUAACCACAUUGAUUCCUUGAAGCUUCCAGAAUAUUUCUCCCACCUCCUAUUUCUCCAGUGGAUAAGUCUCCACUCAAAUCAUAUCUCCUCUAUCUCUGUAGGAGAUCUGGAUGCCUUGUCAGGUCAGAACCUCACGUUGGUGUUGUCCAACAAUGACAUAAAGUAUAUUGAGCUCAACGCCUUGAAAGGGGUCCAUUUCCAGCAACUAUCUCUGAGAGACUGCUUUGAAAGCACCACCAUUAUGCAAGACUGCCUCAAGAAUCUGUCUGGCUCACACAUAAAUAGCCUAGUGUUAGGAGAGUAUAGGAACAAGAAGAAAUUGAACAGCUUCAGCAAAGAUCUCUUAGAUGGCCUAUGCCAUGUGCCCUUGAAGGAGUUAAGUCUUAUUAACUUUGAGGGUGACCUGUUGGACACAAACAUACUCUCGGCUUGCUUGAACAAUAUCUCCACUGUGAGGCUGUUGAACAUCGGCAUCAAACAUGUGUCACCUUUCCCAGCAAACACCAGCAUACAGCGACUUGAAAUCAAGAAUAGUGAUUUGAAAACAGUGCCAGCUGACAACCUGUCUUCCUUGAAGGAACUGAGGGUGUUGCGUAUCACCCACAGCCCCAGAAGGCUCCUUCAGUUUAAAGAGGGCUUCAAGGACAUGAAGAAACUUGAGAUCCUGGAUUUCAGUGAAAACUACAUUGAUGGUUCUGUUUGCUGGGUCUGCCUCAUGCAUGAGGUUCCAAAUUUGAAGUCCUUGAACCUUAGCUUCAAUGUUGCUAUCCGUUUACCUCCAGAGUGCUCUGGUAUCUCCAAACUGGAAUACCUGGAUUUUCAUUGUACCAGACUCUUUAACCCAGGAAAGCUUUCUGUUUUCCAGUGCCUUUCCAAUCUCAUUUACCUUGAUAUUUCCUACACCCAUACUGACAUUAUGAUAGAGUGCCCAUUUUGUGGCUUGGAUAACCUGCAAGUUCUAAAAAUGGCAGGCAACUCUUUUGAUAACAAUCAGUUGGGUAACCAGUUCAACAACCUUGCUAAGUUACAAAUUCUGGACAUUUCCAAGUGCGAACUGAAGCAUCUCUCACUCAGUAGCUUGGCCCACCUUCAUGACCUACGAGAGCUGAAUGUCAGCCAUAACAAACUCCUAGUCCUCCAUUCAGAAAACUAUGUAUCCCUCCAUGUCCUCACUGUCCUGGAUUUCCAUAGCAACCAGCUGACUUCUCUGACAGAGAAGGAUCUGAAGAACUUGCCCAGUAGCCUGAAGAGACUGGACUUCUCUCAGAACCUUUUUGAUUGUUCCUGCGACAACCAGAAGUUCUUGAAGUGGGCAAAAGAGCACACAGCUCUCCUACAUGCCGAAAACGUGUUCUGUCACAAUCCCAUGAACUUAAAAGGUGUCCCCAUGGUUAAAUUUGACCUAUCUUCCUGCCAGGUCAGCACCACCACCGUGGCUGCUACAGUUAGCAUCUCCUUGGCUUUGGUGUUAUCCUUGAUUUUGGUUUAUAAGUACUAUUUCCAUCUCUAUUAUAUGAUGGUGUUGCUCACUGGAGACAAUCUCACCACUGAGAAGGAAAAUGGCUAUGAUGCCUUUGUAAUCUACUCGAGCGAGGACCAGGAGUGGGUGAAGAGAGAACUGGAGGAGACCCUGGAAGUGGGAGUGCCUCGCUUCCGCCUCUGCCUCUUCUAUCGAGACUUCCUCCCAGGUGUCUCCAUCAUCACCAACAUUAUCAAGGAAGGCUUCCAGAGCAGCAGGAAAGUCAUAGCAGUUGUCUCCAGCCACUUCCUGGAAAGCCGGUGGUGCAAUUUUGAGCUUGAGGUGGCUCAGUCUUGGCAACUGUUAGACAGCAAAGCCAGCCUUGUCUUGAUUGUUUUAGAAGGAGUGGACAAGAAGGUCAUACAGCAAAAACUGGGGUUAUUUCGCUAUUUACGGAGGAACACUUACUUGGUGUGGAAGGACCAAGAAGUGAACCGACACUUGUUCCUGAGACAAUUGAGGGUUGCCCUGCUUGAGGGCAAAUCAUGGACUGCGGAAGAGCUGAAAUUAGCAUUAUCCAACUAGCUGUGUGUCCACCUUCUGCCUGUUUGAGCUGACCAUGGAGUGCAAGAAGAUGCCUGGCAGUGGGUACUGUCAGGGGUGCCCCUUGGGAAUCUGGAAGAUGCUCUGCUGGGAUGCACUGGCAUCUGCUCCAACUAUUCCUGCUGAUGGGGGACCACUCCUGGUUCUUUGUCCCAUCCAUGUAAUUUGGUGCUUGUAUUGUAUCUCUGCUUUUACCUUUUGAGUAAGUCCUGUAGCAACGUUGUUAGCUUGUCCUGAGAGAAUCCCCUGUUUCACAUCCCCUCCUCCCAGUUGUACAUCUUGGCUAUUCCUAGAGCUUGCCCACCCACCUUGGGACAUCUGGUCUUGAGACAAGCAUCUCUGAUUGACUCAUCUCAGUCUCAGGAUGGCCCACAAUCCCAGGCCGUGCUGUACGUUCUUCUGAAUCUUCUGCAGACCAACCAGUGCUGUACGUUCUUCUGAAUCUUCUGCAGCCGCCAUUCUCACUCCAAACACAGGCAGAUUCCUGGCACGCACCUUGACCUGGCUUCCUGGCUUGUCCUGUGGUUCUGGCCUUCUUGUUGGUCCUGUCUACUCAUGGGUCCUUCGGCUUGUGGAUCCUAGUAACUGGCACACAGACAUCUUUCAGCGUUGAUUGGAUUAUUCAACACACUGUGUAGCACCAUUCGGGUUGGACCUAUCCUCUGUUGGCCAGAAUAGGCAUGCCGUUAUGUAUGUAUAAUGUUCCCUCAUGUUCAGCAAGGUAAGUGGAAUUCUCUUUUCUUUAACAAGUGGGGAAAAGCCACAGCAAUAGGUAAGAGGUGGGUCUCUGAACCAGGCAUGGUGCAGACGUAGCUCGAACGGUGAUGAAUCAAAUGUGAAGGGAAUUUAUAGACACACACGAUCCAGUCCAAUGCACUUCAAUUUAGCUUCUUUAUCAUGCAUCCUGAGGUGCAACAGAGUCAUGGAAACAUUUCUGAGAAAGAACGAACAAGUGGGAAAGGUGGGGGAAGAUUUAUGCAACAAGAGGCACAGCUUUGCCGUUGAGAUUCAGCGGAGGUGAAGGAUAAGCUGACUAGACAUUGACCUGGUGUCUAGGCUGCCUUGUGCAGUGGGUUGUAAUAGACAGGCUAGGAAGUUUGAACAGAAAAAAGGUAAAAAUAGUGAUGAAAAAUAAAAAUAAAAUUUAGGAGAUUGAAAAGCUUAAGAGGAGGAGGAAUGGCAGCAAGCAAACAAGCCCUAGUGUCUUUAAGCUGCCACCAGAUCUUGCUGACUUCCAUGGGCCAAUGAUCCAUGUAGCCCAUUUCUUACUUUGCCUUUGCUUUCUGGGACCACCAUCCCACCACCAGAGCAUCCUUUUCCCUCCUUGUUGUAAGCCGUGGCACCCCUAGUACAGCCUUCCUCCCAGUGUUUCAGACUCCAGCUCCCACCGGUCCCAGCUAGAUGUGGUCAACGGUCUGGAUUUCUGGAUGUGUGGUCCCAUUUAUCUGGUGUGCAUGAGGGUGGGGGAGGCUACUGUAAGUGAAGAUACAAUGGAUCAAGUAGGUGGCGUCGUCAUGAUGGCUUAGUAUGGGUUGAAAGGAAGCUUCGGCAGAGCCCUGUUGUGCUUGGGCCCUUCUCAGCUCUUCUGAACUGCCCAGGAUUUCUGGACACCACACAAUGCAGGUUAGUACAGUGGAAGAAAGGAUCAAGUCACACAGCAGCACACUCGAGUCACAUCUCUGCUCUCCCGUUAAUUUCAUUACUUUUAUCCUCCCAGCCUCCAGCAAUUUUUGGUGGCCGUGGAACUCCAGCUGCGAUUAAUUGGGAGAUCCCCCACUGAUUUCUGAUGAGCUGCUUUUGAUUAGGGUUUAAUGACUUCACUCAGGCCCCCAAUUCACAGGGAUGAGCUGCAAAAAUGUCUACAAAAUGGCUCAAACACAAUUACAUUUCCUCUUAGCCCCGGAGCUAUCAGUUAAAAGCUCUGUGUAGACAAAGCUGUGACUCCCUUAACCCCGCAGAAAACAGCCCCUUUCCUGUCCGUAGACACCUGCCCCAGUCAGCCAUCACUCCAGUGCUUACCAUGAGCUUCACCGUUGACAACAAGCAACAGGUUUGGACACCUCUUGCAAAGAGAACCUGCACUGCAGACCCUUCCACGAGGUUUACUGAGUGUUUAAGGCAUUGAUCUUCCUGGCUCACCUGUAAUCUUCUCUCCCUCCUCCACCACCAUGAGGCAGGGAACAAUUGUGCACAGGAACUUCGAUGGCAAACUUGACAGUAACUCUACAGG